rnacentral:rRNA from 1 species
UUCCGGUUGAUCCUGCCAGAGGCUACUGCUAUCGGGGUCCGACUAAGCCAUGCGAGUUGAGAGGGGUAAGCCCUCGGCAUAUUGCUCAGUAACACGCGGAUAACCUGCCCUUGGGUUCGGGAUAACCCCGGGAAACUGGGACUAAUACCGGAUAGAUCAAAGAAACUGGAAUGUUCUCUGGUCUAAAACUCUGGUGCCCAAGGAUGGGUCUGCGGCCUAUCAGGUAGUAGUGGGUGUAACGUACCUACUAGCCUACGACGGGUAAGGGUUGUGAGAGCAAGAGCCCUGAGAUGGAUUCUGAGACAUGAAUCCAGGCCCUACGGGGUGCAGCAGGCGCGAAAACUUUACACUGCGGGAAACCGCGAUAAGGGGACCCCGAGUGCCAGCACCUAGUGCUGGCUGUCCAGCUGUCCAAAUAACAGUUGUUAGCAAGGGCCGGGCAAGACCGGUGCCAGCCGCCGCGGUAACACCGGCGGCCCGAGUGGUAGCCGUUAUUAUUGGGUUUAAAGGGUCCGUAGCCGGCCUAUUAAGUCUCUUGGGAAAUCUGGCGACUCAAUCGUCAGGCGUCCAAGAGAUACUGGUAGGCUUGGGACCGGGAGAGGUGGGAGGUACUCCAGGGGUAGGGGUGAAAUCUCGUAAUCCUUGGGGGACCACCGAUGGCGAAGGCAUCCCACCAGAACGGGUCCGACGGUGAGGGACGAAAGCUGGGGGCACGAACCGGAUUAGAUACCCGGGUAGUCCCAGCCGUAAACGAUGCUCGCUAGGUGUCAGGUGCGGUGCGACCGCAUCUGGUGCCGCAGUGAAAACUUGAAGCGAGUCACCUGGGAAGUACGGUCGCAAGGCUGAAACUUAAAGGAAUUGGCGGGGGAGCACUACAACGGGUGGAGCCUGCGGUUCAAUUGGAGUCAACGCCGGG